GGGUGGGUAGCUCAGUUGGUUAGAGCACCGGUCUUACAAACCGGGGGUCCUGGGUUCGAGUCCCAGUCCGCCCA
rnacentral:tRNA from 1 species